rnacentral:lncRNA from 1 species
UCUUUUCUUUAUGACUUAACAGUCUGUGGUAUUGUGUUUUUAGCAUCAGAAAAUAGACUAAUAUGUUUUAAUAUAUGUAUAAAGAUAUAUUCACAGGAUGUUAUUUACCAAGAUGUUCAUUGGAACAUUAGUGUGUGUGUGUGUGUGUGUGUGUGUGUGUGUGUGUGUGUGAGAGAGAGAGAGAGAGAGAGAGAGAGAGAGAGAGAGAGAGAGAGAUCCAAGUUACACAGAACAUAG